GAUGAAGAACGUAGCGAAAUGCGAUAAGUAAUGCGAAUUGCAGAAUUCCAGUGAGUCAUCGAAUCUUUGAACGCACAUUGCGCCCUUUGGUAUUCCGAAGGGCAUGCCUGUUCGAGCGUCAUUAUCACCCCUCAAGCCCUCGGCUUGGUGUUGGACGGUUUGGUGGAGGCCCCCUCGGGGGCUCCUGCCCCUCCCAAAGACAAUGACGGCGGCCUCGUUGGACCCCCGGUACACUGAGUUCUUCACGGGACACGUAUCGGACACAUGGGUUUACGGGACACGGUCUGCCUCCCCUCAGGGGGAAUCUUUCUAAGGUUGACCUCGGAUCAGGUAGGGAUACCCGCUGAACUUAAGCAUAUCAUAAGCGGAGGA
rnacentral:misc_RNA from 1 species